rnacentral:rRNA from 1 species
UACGUAGGGGGCAAGCGUUGUCCGGAUUUAUUGGGCGUAAAGAGCGUGUAGGCGGCCUGGCAGGUCUGCUGUGAAAACUCGAGGCUCAACCUCGAGAUGUCGGCGGAAACCGUCUGGCUAGAGUCCGGAAGAGGAGAGUGGAAUUCCUGGUGUAGCGGUGAAAUGCGCAGAUAUCAGGAAGAACACCUAUGGCGAAGGCAGCGUCUCUGGGACGGUACUGACGCUGAGACGCGAAAGCGUGGGGAGCGAACAGG